AUUGAACGCUGGCGGCAGGCCUAACACAUGCAAGUCGAACGAGUGGCGGACGGGUGAGUAAUGCCUGGGAAACUGCCUGAUGGAGGGGGAUAACUCCUGGAAACGGUAGCUAAUACCGCAUACCAUCGGAUGUGCCCAGGUGGGAUUAGCUAGGAGGUGGGGUAAAGGCUCACCUAGGCGAGGAUCCCUAGCUGGUCUGAGAGGAUGACCAGGCAGGCGGGAACUGAGACACGGACCAUAGUCAGACGGAGGGCAGCAGUGGGGAAGAGGGGAAGAGGGGGGCGAGCCUGAUGCAGCCAUGCCGCGUGUAUGAAGAGGGCCGUGGGGUUGUAAAGUAAUUUCAGCGGGGAGGCGUUACCCGCAGAAGAAGCACCGGCUAACUCCGUGCCAGCAGCCGCGGUAAUUC
rnacentral:rRNA from 1 species